rnacentral:rRNA from 1 species
CAACCUGCCUUUCAGAGGGGGAGUAACAGUUGGAAACGACUGCUAAUACCGCAUAACGCUGCGAUGGGGCAUCCCGAUGCAGCCAAAGGAGCAAUCCGCUGGAAGAUGGGCUCGCGGCCGAUUAGCUAGUUGGUGGGGCAACGGCCCACCAAGGCGACGAUCGGUAGCCGGACUGAGAGGUUGAUCGGCCACAUUGGGACUGAGACACGGCCCAGACUCCUACGGGAGGCAGCAG